rnacentral:rRNA from 1 species
ACGCACGCUGGCGGCGUGCUUAACACAUGCAAGUCGUACGGAAAGGCCCUGCUUUUGUGGGGUGCUCGAGUGGCGAACGGGUGAGUAACACGUGAGUAACCUGCCCUUGACUUUGGGAUAACUUCAGGAAACUGGGGCUAAUACCGGAUAGGAGCUCCUGCUGCAUGGUGGGGGUUGGAAAGUUUCGGCGGUUGGGGAUGGACUCGCGGCUUAUCAGCUUGUUGGUGGGGUAGUGGCUUACCAAGGCUUUGACGGGUAGCCGGCCUGAGAGGGUGACCGGCCACAUUGGGACUGAGAUACGGCCCAGACUCCUACGGGAGGCAGCAGUGGGGAAUAUUGCACAAUGGGCGGAAGCCUGAUGCAGCAACGCCGCGUGCGGGAUGACGGCCUUCGGGUUGUAAACCGCUUUCGCCUGUGACGAAGCGUGAGUGACGGUAAUGGGUAAAGAAGCACCGGCUAACUACGUG